AACUCCAACAAUUAGUUUAGAUUAACAACAUAAAUCUAUAUUUCUCUAAUUCAUGAACUAAUUUCCUGAUUAUUUGAUAAUGUCAGUAAAUGUUAGAUGCAGGAUUCUUGUUUGACAUCUUGACACUUAUUUCUCUCUGCAGCUCAGAACAACAUGAAAACUUUACUUUCAAUCCAAACACAAUUAGCUCAGAUCUACUAACAUGUACAACUAAUUUCAUAUCUAAUCUCCUCAGGUGACAGAGACAACCUCACAUUACUCUGCUGUUGAAAAGAGGUGGAGCUGCACGUUUAGAUGAGAAGAACAGUUGUAGAGACGUUUAUUAAAUGUCUGGAAGGAUUUUGUCUCUUAAAGGUGUUUAAACCAUCUGAAUGGAUCGAUUGUUUCCACAGGACAGUAUCGGCUCAUUUGCCCGACUCCACUGAUCAAGGCUGCAGCAGGUGACAGGGCUGUUACUAAGUGUCAUGUGGAUCCUCCAGUCAACUUGAACAAUAAAACAGUGGAGUUCAGUAAAGUCGACCCCUAUGAGGUGCUCCUCGUCCAUCGAUCUGGAGAGGUUGAUCCUGAUCACAACAGCAGCAGGAUAAGUCUCAGUGAUGAAGACCUGAAAAGAGGAAUCGUGAAACUACAGAUCUCCCCAGUGCAGCUGUCUGACAGUGGACUCUACAAGAUCCAUAUCCCACAACUGAAGGCCCACUGUACCUUUGACCUCAGUGUUGUAAAACCUGAGGCACCAGACAGGAUAGAGGAUGAUAACAACAGUACGACAACACCUCCAGUGGAAAACCAGCCUGGU
rnacentral:lncRNA from 1 species